CCUACGGGAGGCAGCAGUCGAGAAUCAUUCACAAUGGGGGAAACCCUGAUGGGGCGACGCCGCGUGGGGGAAUGAAGGUCUUCGGAUUGUAAACCCCUGUCAUGUGGGAGCAAAUUAAAAAGAUAGUACCACAAGAGGAAGAGACGGCUAACUCUGUGCCAGCAGCCGCGGGAAUACAGAGGUCUCAAGCGUUGUUCGGAAUCACUGGGCGUAAAGCGUGCGUAGGCUGUUUCGUAAGUCGUGUGUGAAAGGCGCGGGCUCAACCCGCGGACGGCACCUGAUACUGCGAGACUAGAGUAAUGGAGGGGGAACCGGAAUUCUCGGUGUAGCCGUGAAAUGCGUAGAUAUCGAGAGGAACACUCGUGGCGAAGGCGGGUUCCUGGACAUUAACUGACGCUGAGGCACGAAGGCCAGGGGAGCGAAAGGGAUUAGAUACCCUUGUAGUC
rnacentral:rRNA from 1 species